CCGGCCAGGUGAGCCAAAUGCCAGUGCCGCCAUUGCUCCUGACGCAGCAUCAACCGUUCACCACUUAUUCCCAUAGCGAUGGCGCCGACCACAGCGUCAGUCACGAAAAUCAAACUCAUUUUCGUCGAUCAACGAUGUAACGGACCCACGGAUCUUUCAAUCGACCCAAGUAUUUCAAGGACGAAACAAUCAGGCUAGGAUGCUCGUUGGACUUUCGCAUUUGGACGACACGGUGAUUUCAUUGUAACUUUACAUUUUUAUGCAUAUAUAAAAAUAGUUUUUAAACGAGUCAGGUACGACAUUUACGAGCCUCUUUAACUGUGGAAGAAAACAGACUUGGCUCGCACUUCUACAAAGAUAUUUCCAUACUCUUGUAUCGAAUAAUAUGUACGAUUACGUUAAAUAAAGUUCAUCCAUCAAUAAA